AGUCGAACGAUGAAGGGAGCUUGCUCCCUGGAUUAGUGGCGAACGGGUGAGUAACACGUGAGUAACCUGCCCUUGACUCUGGGAUAAGCACUGGAAACGGUGUCUAAUACCGGAUACGAACUUCAGCCGCAUGGCUAGGAGUUGGAAAGAAUUUCGGUCAAGGAUGGACUCGCGGCCUAUCAGCUAGUUGGUGAGGUAAUGGCCCACCAAGGCGACGACGGGUAGCCGGCCUGAGAGGGUGACCGGCCACACUGGGACUGAGACACGGCCCAGACUCCUACGGGAGGCAGCAGUGGGGAAUAUUGCACAAUGGGCGCAAGCCUGAUGCAGCAACGCCGCGUGAGGGACGACGGCCUUCGGGUUGUAAACCUCUUUUAGUAGGGAAGAAGCAAAGUGUUUUACAUGGAGUGACGGUACCUGCAGAAAAAGCACCGGCUAACUACGUGCCAGCAGCCGCGGUAAUACGUAGGGUGCAAGCGUUAUCCGGAAUUAUUGGGCGUAAAGAGCUCGUAGGCGGUUUGUCGCGUCUGCUGUGAAAACUGGGGGCUCAACCCCCAGCCUGCAGUGGGUACGGGCAGACUAGAGUGCGGUAGGGGAGAUUGGAAUUCCUGGUGUAGCGGUGGAAUGCGCAGAUAUCAGGAGGAACACCAAUGGCGAAGGCAGAUCUCUGGGCCGUAACUGACGCUGAGGAGCGAAAGCA
rnacentral:rRNA from 1 species